rnacentral:rRNA from 1 species
UACGUAGGGUGCAAGCGUUAAUCGGAAUUACUGGGCGUAAAGCGUGCGUAGGCGGCUAUGUAAGACAGAUGUGAAAUCCCUGGGCUUAACCUAGGAACUGCAUUUGUGACUGCAUAGCUAGAGUGUGGUAGAGGGAGGUGGAAUUCCGCAUGUAGCAGUGAAAUGCGUAGAUAUGCGGAGGAACACCAAUGGCGAAGGCAAUCUCCUGGACCUGCACUGACGCUCAUGCACGAAAGCGUGGGGAGCAAACAGG